CGUGUGGUGGGCCCCGUCGGCCUGGGGCCUGCGCGCGGUGCGCGGUGAGUGGACGUUUCUGCUCGCUCUGGCGGCUCUGGUACUCGUCCUGCUCGC
rnacentral:tRNA from 1 species